rnacentral:other from 1 species
UGUCUUCUGAGGCGUUCGCCAGGUGGCGUUCAAUCCCUUGAGCCUUAAUUUGCGACACUGGGUGUAACAAACGGUUCUGUGUGCAGGUCCGCCAAGCAGCGGAAAGCCUAAUGAGCCGGGCGGAGCGCCCAACUUGAACCUACAUGGUUCAAGGUCGAAGCGUCAUCAGCGGCGUCCCGGAAGACCC